UACGAAGGGGGCUAGCGUUGUUCGGAAUUACUGGCGUAAAGCGCACGUAGGCGGAUAUUUAAAUCAGGGGUGAAAUCCCAGAGCUCAACUCUGGAACUGCCUUUGAUACUGGGUAUCUUGAGUAUGGAAGAGGUAAGUGGAAUUGCGAGUGUAGAGGUGAAAUUCGUAGAUAUUCGCAGGAACACCAGUGGCGAAGGCGGCUUACUGGUCCAUAACUGACGCUGAGGUGCGAAAGCGUGGGGAGCAAACAGG
rnacentral:rRNA from 1 species